rnacentral:ncRNA from 10 species
AUCGUUCAAUCUGUUAAGACAGAUCGGAAGUAGGAUUAAGCCGAAGGAACGCGGA